GACGAACGCUGGCGGCGUGCUUAACACAUGCAAGUCGAACGGAAAGGCCCUGCUUUUUUGGGGUGCUCGAGUGGCGAACGGGUGAGUAACACGUGAGUAACCUGCCCUUGACUUUGGGAUAACUUCAGGGAACUGGGGCUAAUACCGGAUAGGAGCUCCUGCUGCAUGGUGGGGGUUGGAAAGUUUCGGCGGUUGGGGAUGGACUCGCGGCUUAUCAGCUUGUUGGUGGGGUAGUGGCUUACCAAGGCUUUGACGGGUAGCCGGCCUGAGAGGGUGACCGGCCACAUUGGGACUGAGAUACGGCCCAGACUCCUACGGGAGGCAGCAGUGGGGAAUAUUGCACAAUGGGCGGAAGCCUGAUGCAGCAACGCCGCGUGCGGGAUGACGGCCUUCGGGUUGUAAACCGCUUUCGCCUGUGACGAAGCGUGAGUGACGGUAAUGGGUAAAGAAGCACCGGCUAACUACGUG
rnacentral:rRNA from 1 species